GGGGUUGGGGAUUUAGCUCAGUGGUAGAGCACUUGCCUAGCAAGCGCAAGGCCCUGGGUUCGGUCCCCAGCUC
rnacentral:scRNA from 1 species